CCUACGGGAGGCAGCAGUGAGGAAUAUUGGACAAUGGAGGCAACUCUGAUCCAGCCAUGCCGCGUGCAGGAAGAAGGCCCUACGGGUUGUAAACUGCUUUUAUACAGGAAGAAUUGUACCUACGUGUAGGUAUUUGACGGUACUGUAAGAAUAAGGAUCGGCUAACUCCGUGCCAGCAGCCGCGGUAAUACGGAGGAUCCAAGCGUUAUCCGGAAUUAUUGGGUUUAAAGGGUCCGUAGGCGGUUUUUUAAGUCAGAGGUGAAAUCCUACAGCUCAACUGUAGCAUUGCCUUUGAUACUGAAAGACUUGAGUUAUUAUGAAGUAGUUAGAAUGUGUAGUGUAGCGGUGAAAUGCAUAGAUAUUACACAGAAUACCAAUUGCGAAAGCAGAUUACUAAUAAUACACUGACGCUGAGGGACGAAAGCGUGGGUAGCGAACAG
rnacentral:rRNA from 1 species